rnacentral:rRNA from 1 species
AACGAACGCUGGCGGCAGGCUUAACACAUGCAAGUCGAGCGCAACCUUCGGGGUGAGCGGCAGACGGGUGAGUAACGCGUGGGAAUCUACCUUUUGCUACGGAAUAGCUCCGGGAAACUGGAAUUAAUACCGUAUGUGCCCUUAGGGGGAAAGAUUUAUCGGCAAGAGAUGAGCCCGCGUUGGAUUAGCUAGUUGGUGGGGUAAAGGCCUACCAAGGCGACGAUCCAUAGCUGGUCUGAGAGGAUGAUCAGCCACAUUGGGACUGAGACACGGCCCAAACUCCUACGGGAGGCAGCAGUGGGGAAUAUUGGACAAUGGGCGCAAGCCUGAUCCAGCCAUGCCGCGUGAGUGAAGAAGGCCUUAGGGUUGUAAAGCUCUUUCACCGGAGAAGAUAAUGACGGUAGCCGGAGAAGAAGCCCCGGCUAACUUCGUG